rnacentral:rRNA from 1 species
CCUGAUCCAGCCAUGCCGCGUGAAGGAAUAAGGUCCUAUGGGUCGUAAACUUCUUUUGACGCAGAGCAAUAAGGGACACGCGUGUUCCGAUGAGAGUAUGCGUCGAAUAAGCAUCGGCUAACUCCGUGCCAGCAGCCGCGGUAAUACGGAGGAUGCGAGCGUUAUCCGGAUUUAUUGGGUUUAAAGGGUGCGUAGGCUGUUGGAUAAGUCAGCGGUGAAAUCACCACGCUUAACGUGUUGUGUGCCGUUGAAACUGUCCAGCUUGAAUGCGCUCGUCGUGAGAGGAAUGUGUGGUGUAGCGGUGAAACGCAUAGAUAUCACACAGAACACCGAUUGCGAAGGCAUCUCACGAGGGCGCUAUUGACGCUGAUGCACGAAAGCGCGGGUAUCGAACAGGAUUAGAUACCCUGGUAGUCCGCGCUGUAAACGAUGAUGACUAACCGUUGGUCUGGUAUGGAUCAGUGGUCAAGCGAAAGCGUUAAGUCAUCCACCUGGGGAGUACGGCCGCAAGGCUGAAACUCAAAGGAAUUGACGGGGGCCCGCACAAGCGGAGGAACAUGUGGUUUAAUUCGAUGAUACGCGAGGAACCU